rnacentral:rRNA from 1 species
UACGUAGGGGGCAAGCGUUGUCCGGAUUUAUUGGGCGUAAAGAGCGUGUAGGCGGCCAGACAAGUCUGCUGUGAAAACUCGAGGCUCAACCUCGAGCUGUCGGUGGAAACUGUCUGGCUAGAGUCCGGAAGAGGGGAGUGGAAUUCCUGAUGUAGCGGUGAAAUGCGCAGAUAUCAGGAAGAACACCUAUGGCGAAGGCAGCUCUCUGGGACGGUACUGACGCUGAGACGCGAAAGCGUGGGGAGCGAACAGG